CUCCUGCACAAUGACAUGUCAUACUAUACUCCUGCCAUGACAUGUCAUUACUCAUACUCCGCCAUGACAUGUCAUUACUAUACUCCUGCCAUGACGUCAUUACUAUACUCCUGCCAAGACAUGUCAUUACUAUACUCCAGCCAUGACAUGUCAUUACUAUACUCCUGCCAUGGCAUGUCAUUAUAUAACAUCUAAUACGCAUCGAUACGGGCAAUACAAAAUGUCCUCUGGCUUGUCUCUCCCAGCUGAUCCUGUCCUCCCCUUUCACUCAGACUGAAUGCAGUUCCUGGAAGGUCUUGUGUGCCCUUUCCUAGAGGGAAAGGAGAAAAGAAUGGAUGAG
rnacentral:lncRNA from 1 species